rnacentral:rRNA from 1 species
AUUGAACGCUGGCGGCAUGCCUUACACAUGCAAGUCGAACGGUAACAGGUCCUCGGAUGCUGACGAGUGGCGAACGGGUGAGUAAUACAUCGGAACGUGCCUAGUAGUGGGGGAUAACUACUCGAAAGAGUGGCUAAUACCGCAUGAGAUCUACGGAUGAAAGCAGGGGAUCGCAAGACCUUGUGCUACUAGAGCGGCCGAUGGCAGAUUAGGUAGUUGGUGGGAUAAAAGCUUACCAAGCCGACGAUCUGUAGCUGGUCUGAGAGGACGAUCAGCCACACUGGGACUGAGACACGGCCCAGACUCCUACGGGAGGCAGCAGUGGGGAAUUUUGGACAGUGGGCGCAAGCCUGAUCCAGCAAUGCCGCGUGCAGGAUGAAGGCCUUCGGGUUGUAAACUGCUUUUGUACGGAACGAAAAGCCCUGGGUUAAUACCCUGGGGUCAUGACGGUACCGUAAGAAUAAGCACCGGCUAACUACGUGCCAGCCGCCGCGGUAA